rnacentral:lncRNA from 1 species
GUGGAGGUGACACUCUGUGGGGAGGUGACACUGUGGGGAGGUGACAUGGUGGAGGUGACACGGUGGAGGUGACACUGAGGGGAGGUGACACAGAGGGGAGGUGACACAGUGGAGGUGACACUGUGGGAAGGUGACAUGGUGGAGGUGACACGGUGGAGGUGACACCG